ACCGCGCCGGGCCCGGCAGGAAGCAGCGCCACGUUGGCGGCGGCCGCUGCCUCCGC
rnacentral:SRP_RNA from 10 species